AGAACUUUGUGGGAACCCAUGGGUAACGUACAUUUCGCCGGAGAAACCUUAUCUUUUGCCGCUGGUUGGAUUCAAGGUGCCUUGGAGAGUGGCCUCAAAGCCGCAUAUCAAGUUUAUGCCCGUGGCAAGAAGAGAACAACCAGAAAAGAAAAAUAAUUGACACACGAUGUAUCUACUGUGAUGGACUUCAAAUAUUGACAGUC